rnacentral:tRNA from 1 species
CGCCAAGUGGUAAGGCACCGGAUUUUGAUUCCGGCAUUCGUAGGUUCGAUCCCUACC